GGGGGGGGGCGCGGAGGAGGAAAAGUGUCCGGAACAGGCCUCCGACCGCUGCGUGAUCCAACUCCUCAUCUCGAACCUGUCCACCCCUGAGGCUCCUUCGAGCCGGACCCUAGGAAGGCUGAACAAGGGGCCACCUUUAGGCCUUGUUUUCCCAGGCCUCUGGGACCUGGCGCUAGACCUCCGCUUCCCCGCAGGGCUUACUCCCACUCGCCCUUCAAGACUCAUCUUGAGUUUCGUUCAAUGAAUUCAUCAUGCAGCAACUA